UUCAUCAUCUCAGCCCUUCAUGGGGCUCGGCUCCACACUCGGUUCCCGCCGGUCGUGCCCACCAGGAGAUGGCACUGGAGAACCUGUCCUGCAGAGACAAGGCAAAAAUGCCGAUUCACAAACCGGCUCUGUGCUCGUGAACACGAAAUAAUCCGGAAGGUAUCUCUCCUCCGUAGUAUUUGCUUUUAGGAAGGACUUAAGGCUUUGGCUUUUUUUUCAUUUUGUUCUCAAACAUGAUGAAGAAGAAGCUAAAAGGAAGCCAACCACAGCACCCAGUGAAUGCCAUCUGGGUUUGCCUUGUGAAGCACAUUCUAUUUUCUCAACUGUUACUUCUCGUGAAGAUUGAUGAAAAUGUCUUCAACACGAUCUAAAUGGCAUUUAUGCCUCAGGGUUCACUUCGUGCCUUUUGAUGCGUCCCUGAUCAGGCUUUGUUUUGGGAGGUGUGAUGGUAUAGGACCAUUAACCGUUACCACAGUGCCGCUGGCUGAAGGCGCAGGGACAGGGACAGGCUGCUGAUCUCCAUCUCUCGGCCCGCAGCGCUUCGUGCACCACAGCCAAUUACUGCAGAGUCACGGACCGACACAGAGCGCUCAGAUCAGGAUUUAGAUAAUUGCGGCGUGUUUAAACUGGGGCUCCCGGCUGCUGCGGCCGCCUCCCGGGAGCGGUGCGGGGCCGGGACAGGAACGGGACCGCCUCCCGGGAGCGGUGCGGGGCCGGGACAGGAACGGGACAGG
rnacentral:lncRNA from 1 species